AUGGAGGCCGUGGUGAGUGCCUCUCAGGGCGCCGUGCAGGUUUUGUUGGGGAAGCUCGGUGAAAUCCUCGCCAGCAAAUACGCGCUUCUCAGCGGCGUUCGUGGGGAGAUCCAGGAGCUCAAGGAUGAGCUCGAGAGCAUGACUGCGUGCCUCCGCGACCUCGCGACCGACGACGAUCACAACGAAAAGGUAAAGCAGAUACGGAUCUUUUACCCUCAGUUUAAUUGA
rnacentral:rRNA from 1 species